rnacentral:rRNA from 1 species
UACGUAGGGCGCAAGCGUUGUCCGGAAUUAUUGGGCGUAAAGAGCUUGUAGGCGGUUUGUCGCGUCUGCCGUGAAAGCCCAGGGCUUAACCCUGGGUCUGCGGUGGGUACGGGCAGACUAGAGUGUGGUAGGGGAGACUGGAAUUCCUGGUGUAGCGGUGAAAUGCGCAGAUAUCAGGAGGAACACCGAUGGCGAAGGCAGGUCUCUGGGCCACUACUGACGCUGAGAAGCGAAAGCAUGGGGAGCAAACAGG